AAUAGCCUAACGGCUGAACCAGCAAUUUGGAGGAAUGUAUAGCAAUAGCUAAUUGCAUAACUUUAUGCAAUAUCGACCUUGUUGAAUAAAGUUCUGAGUAAAUCUAGAUAAUGACUUAAUUUACUCACGUGUCUUGACUAAAAUGCGUGCCAGCAGUCGCGGUAAGACGUAUAAGACUAGUGUUAUUCAUCUUUAGCAGGUUUAAAGGGUACUUAGACGGGAGAUCAAGCCUAAGCAGGGACUAGUCUUCUGGAGUUACUUGUGAUGGGGCUAGAAAGUACUAAUGGAGUAGAGAUAAAAUGCUAAUAUACCUUUUUUCGAGAGAUUAAUAAUGGCACUGGUAAAGGCGAAAGCAUCCCCUUAUGUGAUAACUGACGUUAAAGGACGAAGGCUUUGGAUCGCGAACAGGAUUAGAUACCCUGGUAGUCAAAGCAGAGAAUGAUGAGUGUCAUAGAUUAGAAUAAGUUUAAUCUAUAAAUGAAAGUGUAAGCACUCCACCUUAAGAGUAACGUGGGAACACCGAAACUGAAAUCAUUAGACCGUUUCUGAA
rnacentral:rRNA from 1 species